CGAAAUUUUGGUAGUGGUUUAAUCGAAAUAAAGAUGGAUAAUUAAUAAUUAUUUAUAUAGGAGAGGAAAAUUGUUCUCAUGAUUUGUUUCCUUGUUUUCUCUCCCUACUAAAUAUAAAAAUGGAAAGGGCCAUCCACUCCUCUCACUGGGGCAUCAAGAAGCCCUGUUCUGAAGUUGCCCUCCAGACGAGGGAAUCCCUAAAAAGGCCCUAUUUUCCUCUGCCACUCUCAAUCCUCGCAGGUACUAAUCUAAUCAUGUUAUUUUUUUUUUUGCAACCCCCGUUUGAUUCCCAAGAAAAUCCAUCCCCCAUUCGAUUUCCGGGAAAAUUCAUCCUCGUUUGAUUUCCGAGAAAAUCCACGCAAAACCCCCAAGGAAAACCAAAAAAAUUGCUUUUUUUUUUGCUCCCUGUGUUUUCUGGAUCUGUUCUAGGGGUCUCUUUGCUUUUGUGCCAUUGGAUUUAAAUUUCACGAACCCUAAAUCCACGAUUUUUGAGCCAGGCUGAAAAACACAACCUUUGCCUGCAAAUCAUGAUCAGAUUACCAAAUAACAUCUUGUGUUUUUUUUUAAAAAAAUGGACAGAUUUUGUAUCCUGUGCGCGGGCUGGACUGGUAGGAAAUAUCGGGAAAUUUCCCGAAAUUCGACAUUUCAAUCCUUGAUACCGGGUUUAGUGAGGGUAGAAAGGUCAAAAAAGUAAAAUAAAAGCAAAGAAGAAGAAGACAGGGAGUAGUAUAAAAGGGAAAGGAUGAGUAAAAGUUAGGGCUAGACCUCAUUAGUUUAAGACUGAGGCUCCAGGGACCGUGUCGGAGGGAUGGGGAGUUUCUAAGGGUGGUUGCCCCUCUCUGAAUCUCAUGGUCUUCGGAGCCGAUGAUUACUUCUACGACGCCCAUCAACAGCCCUUUUCCUUCGCUCUUUCUUUUCUUUUCUUUCUUUUCAUACACAUGUGUGUACAUAUAUAUCAGAGGCUGUCUUGAUUCUCUGGAAAAUCAACAGCUCUCUCUCUCUCUCUCUGUUCAUAUGGGCAACAUAAAAGGCUGUGAUGACGUUUUCAGAGUAAGUCAGGCACUGGGAAUGUCCGUUUCUUGGCAGGGCAACCCGGAUGGUUUGUGCGAUGGGACCUUUUGUGCCUUGUUUCACAAGCAACUGUGGUUGCAGCCAUGACGGUCAUCUUUUUCUUGUCUGAUAAAAGGCGAAUCUGAGCCUUCAUUUUACGCGCUAUUCACUUCCGCGCUGAGGUUGGUCUUUGUUUUGUUUUGGUUUUUUUGUUUGUGUUUUAAAAUGUGUUUUCUGAGAAGGAUCUUGUAUCUGUUCGGUUGCUGAGAAAAUGUGCAGGAAAAUUAAGUGGCUGUGAUGACACUUUCCAAGUAAAUCAGACAUUUUGAAAGGACCUGUCCUUGGCUGGGCGACCCGGAUUGUCUGUGAAAUGGGUUUCUAUGCCCUUUUUUCACAUGCAACUGUAGUUGCAGCCAUGGCGAACAUGGAUCUUGUCUGAUUACGGGCGGAUCUGAGCCCUCCCUGGACCCGUGAUGUCCAUCUUUAUUUAUUUAUUAUUGUUUGGUUGGAUGUAUUUAGGGUCCUUCAAAAUAAAAAUCGAAAUUUCGGUAGUGAUUUAAUCAAAAUAAAGAUGGAUAAUUAAUAAUUAUUUAUAUAAAGAGAGGAAAAUUGUUCUCAUGAUUUGUUAACCUUGUUUUCUCUCUCUACUAAAUCUAAAAAUCGAAAGGGCCAUCCACUUCUCUCACUAAGGCAUCAAGAAGCCCUUUUCUGAAGUUGCCCUCCAGACGAGAGAAUCCCUAAAAAGGCCCUAUUUUCCUCUGCCACUCUCAUGGUCGUCGGAGCCGAUGAUUCCUUCUACUACGCUCCUUUUCCUUCGCUCUUUUACAUAUAUAUAUAUAUAUACAUAUACAUCAGAGGCUAUCAACAGCGCUCACUCUCUCUCUGUUCAUAUGGGCAACAUAAAAGGCUGUGAUGACGUUUUCAGAGUAAGUCAGGCCCUGGGAAUGUCCGUUUCUUGGCGGGGCAACCCGGAUGGCUUAAGCGAUGGGACCUUUUGUGCCUUGUUUCACAAGCAACUGUGGUUGCAGCCAUGACGGUCAUCUUUUUCUUGUCUGAUAAAAGGCGAAUCUGAGCCUUCCUUUUACGCGCUAUUCACUUCCGCGCUGAGGAAAAUUAAGUGGCUGUGAUGACACUUUCCAAGUAAAUCAGACAUUUUGAAAGGACCCAUCUCUUGGCUGGGCGACCCGGAUUGUCUGUGAAAUGGGUUUCUAUGCCCUUUUUUUUCACAUGCAACUGUAGUUGCAGCCAUGGCGAAAACGGAUCUUGUCUGAUUACGGGCGGAUCUGAGCCCUCCCUGGACCCGUGAUGUCCAUCUUUAUUUAUUUAUUUAUUAUUGUUUGGUUGGAUGUAUUUAGGGUCCUUCAAAGGGUCCUCGAUCUGUUUCCAAGUAAAUAAAUCGAGGGGCUAUGAUGAUACUUUCCAAGUAAAUCAGAGAUUAUGAAGGGCUCGUUUCUUGGCGGGGCAACCCGGGUGAUCUGUGAAAUGGGUUUCAUUUUACAGGCAACCGUAGUUGCAGCCAUGGCGUCCCAGCAACUUGUCUGAUUACGGCCGGAUCUGAGCCUCCAUUGCCCAGUCCAUGAUAAUAGGAUCUGGAUCUUAAUAAAAAUGUGUCAUCUGUGUAGGAUUAAAGUAGUGGGAGGCCCAAAUAAGAUGAGUCAUGCUUGGUCCACAAAGCAUAAUUUAUAAUACCAAUCAAAUAUAAUUUAUUUUUUAUUUUUUAAAAA